UCAUCAGGACUUUUACAUUUUAAUGUAGCUGUUCUGACAUCUGACAAAACUUUGUAAUGUCAGAUUGUUUUCUGUUAUGAACAGAAGUGGCUUGCAAACAUAAAAUGGAUUUUCGGAAAGUUCCAUCUUGCACGGAAGUGAGCUCAUGGAGUCCGGAUGCUCUUGUAGAUUAUUUUAAAAUGUGUAACCUAAAGGACUGUGAAAAGUUAGUUAGAAAACAAGGAAUAAGUGGAAGAAGAUUUUUGGAGAUGACUGAAAAUGACAUGCAGAAGUUUCCCAAAGUAAGAGUACC